UACGUAGGGUCCGAGCGUUGUCCGGAGUUACUGGGCGUAAAGCGCGCGCAGGCGGCGGUGUUGGCCCGGCGUGAAAGCCCCCGGCUCAACCGGGGAGAGUCGUCGGGGACCGCACCGCUUGAGGGCGGUAGGGGCUGGUGGAAUGCCUGGUGUAGUGGUGAAAUGCGCAGAUAUCGGGAGGAACACCGGUGGCGAAGGCGGUUCUCUGGGCCUUACCUGACGCUGAGGAGCGAAAGCGUGGGGAGCGAACAGG
rnacentral:rRNA from 1 species